CUGGUUCGCCCGUUCCAAGCGGGGAGUUCAACCAUGAGAUCCGGGCAAGAAAGCCUGGGUGUCUAGGUUUCAAAGAGCAGGAAGGGCAUUGCGUUAGGCUAGUUUCACAGUGCUCCAACUCCUCUCGCUCCCAUCGGUGGAAGGUUAACUAGUCGG
rnacentral:SRP_RNA from 11 species